rnacentral:ncRNA from 1 species
GAGAGCCGUGUUAUGGGUAACCUUAUUGCACGGUUCAGAGAGCACUUGUGUAUGUGAUGCAAGUGAACGUGUACAAAAAAGCUGUCGUAAAGUUUCGUUGUUCGCUCCGUCGUCGAACAUACGAUUUUUCUCCCUCAGAUUUUUCUCAGUUUUAGUGAUCUACUCACAC